CCUACGGGCGGCAGCAGUGAGGAAUAUUGGUCAAUGGGCGAGAGCCUGAACCAGCCAAGUCGCGUGAGGGAGUACUGCCCUAUGGGUUGUAAACCUCUUUUGUCGGGGAGCAAAAGCCGGACGUGUCCGGCUGUGAGAGUACCCGAAGAAAAAGCAUCGGCUAACUCCGUGCCAGCAGCCGCGGUAAUACGGAGGAUGCGAGCGUUAUCCGGAUUUAUUGGGUUUAAAGGGUGCGCAGGCGGAUUUUUAAGUCAGCGGUAAAAUCGUGGGGCUCAACCCAAUCCAGCCGUUGAACCUGGGGAUCUAGAGUGUGCGAGAGGUAUGCGGAAUGCGUGGUGUAGCAGUGAAAUGCAUAGAUAUCACGCAGAACCCCGAUUGCGAAGGCAGCAUACCGGUGCACAACUGACGCUCAGGCACGAAAGCGUGGGUAUCGAACAGGAUUAGAUACCCUAGUAGUC
rnacentral:rRNA from 1 species